GUCAGUUGGUCACCCCUAAGACUUAUGUAGUUGGGGUGAAAACUCUGGCUUCAGCUAGGGAGUUGAAGAAAUGUGUUGGAGUAUUUCAUUUGAUGAAUGGAUAUGGAUAUGGGUAUAGUCUUGAUGUAUUGAAUAAGGUAGUUGAAGCUCUUUGUAGAUCUAAGCUUGUUGAGGAGGCUGAGCAUGUUGUAUUGAAGUUGAAAAAUUGGGUAAAACCAAAUGAGGUUACUUAUAGAUGGUUGAUUUACGGGUUUUGUGAUGUUGGUGAUGUGAU
rnacentral:misc_RNA from 1 species